AGUGAACGCUGGCGGUAGGCCUAACACAUGCAAGUCGAACGGCGGCACAGUAAGAGCUUGCUCUUACGGGUGGCGAGUGGCGGACGGGUGGGGAAUACAUCGGAAUCUACUUUUUCGUGGGGGAUAACGUAGGGAAACUUACGCUAAUACCGCAUACGACCUACGGGUGAAAGCAGGGGAUCUUCGGACCUUGCGCGAUUGAAUGAGCCGAUGUCGGAUUAGCUAGUUGGCGGGGUAAAGGCCCACCAAGGCGACGAUCCGUAGCUGGUCUGAGAGGAUGAACCGCCACACUGUAAGUGAGAAAGGGUCGAGACUCCUACGCGAGGAAGCAGUGGGGAAUAUUGGAGAAUGGGCGCGUGCCGAAUCCUGCCAUACCGCGUGGGUGAAGAAGGCCUUCUGGUUGGAAAGCCAUUUUGUUGGGAAGGUAAUGCAGCAGGUUUAUCCCCCGUGGUUCUGACGGUACCCAAAGAAUAAGCACCGGCUAACUUCGUG
rnacentral:rRNA from 1 species